GAUGAACGCUGGCGGCGUGCCUAAUACAUGCAAGUCGAGCGAAUGGAUUGAGAGCUUGCUCUUAUGAAGUUAGCGGCGGACGGGUGAGUAACACGUGGGUAACCUGCCCAUAAGACUGGGAUAACUCCGGGAAACCGGGGCUAAUACCGGAUAACAUUUUGAACCGCAUGGUUCGAAAUUGAAAGGCGGCUUCGGCUGUCACUUACGGAUGGACCCGCGUCGCAUUAGCUAGUUGGUGAGGUAACGGCUCACCAAGGCAACGAUGCGUAGCCGACCUGAGAGGGUGAUCGGCCACACUGGGACUGAGACACGGCCCAGACUCCUACGGAAGGCAGCAGUAGGGAAUCUUCCGCAAUGGACGAAAGUCUGACGGAGCAACGCCGUGUGAGUGAUGAAGGCUGUCGGGUCGUAAAACUCUGUUGUUAGGGAAGAACAAGUGCUAGUUGAAUAAGCUGGCACUUUGACGGUACCUAACCAGAAAGCCACGGCUAACUACGUGCCAGCCGCCGCGGUAA
rnacentral:rRNA from 1 species